UCCACAAGUCAGGUACAGAACAGGCAUUAUAAGCUUCUCCACACUGACCUGCCAAAUUGCAUCAAACCUGACCUAGACAGACCACCUCUAGGUGG
rnacentral:sRNA from 1 species